rnacentral:rRNA from 1 species
CCUACGGGGGGCUGCAGUGGGGAAUAUUGGACAAUGGGGGCAACCCUGAUCCAGCCAUGCCGCGUGUGUGAAGAAGGCCCUCGGGUUGUAAAGCACUUUCAGUGAGGAAGAACGCCUGGUGGUUAAUACCCAUCAGGAAAGACAUCACUCACAGAAGAAGCACCGGCUAACUCCGUGCCAGCAGCCGCGGUAAUACGGAGGGUGCGAGCGUUAAUCGGAAUUACUGGGCGUAAAGCGCGCGUAGGUGGCUUGAUAAGCCGGUUGUGAAAGCUCCGGGCUCAACCUGGGAACGGCAUCCGGAACUGUCAAGCUAGAGUGCAGGAGAGGAAGGUAGAAUUCCCGGUGUAGCGGUGAAAUGCGUAGAGAUCGGGAGGAAUACCAGUGGCGAAGGCGGCCUUCUGGACUGACACUGACACUGAGGUGCGAAAGCGUGGGUAGCAAACAGGAUUAGAUACCCUGGUAGUC